UGGAGCGCCGCUGCUAGAAGUGGGAACAUCCAACGCAUGCUUAUUCGCGAGCCUAAUUCAAUAAAGCCCGUCACACACGAGACUAAUCUGCAACCGGGCUGAGGCUGGAACUAAGAAAGUCGUUGCGCACCAUACACUGAAUCGUACAUCUGCUGUGGCAUAUUUGCUGGCAUAUUUAUUUUUCCUCGCUAGUGGAAUACGACAGACUGACACUGAUGGGCUUGCUGUGUAUUUGGGCACUUCCUGUCCUGCUCGGAGCCUCUGUCUCUGUCUGCUGGCUGACUGAAGGGCAGAGGAGCAUGGAUACAGCAAACAGACCAGAGAACCCCUCCCAGGGACCACAGACCAGGAAGAGCGGACAUGCUGACGGGGUGGCCGAUCCAU